AUCCUUUUUUGUUUCAUAAGUGUGAUGAUUAGGUUUUCACGAUGUUGUGUGAGAUGUGUGCCUACCUCUACAUCAUGUUAUGACAUCAGCACGUUACCAAUCUGACC